rnacentral:misc_RNA from 1 species
CCUUUAAAAUUUCUUCUGAUUUCUGAAAAUUUUCUGAGCGGCUGUACAUAUACAUCAAACUAUUGUAAGUUGCCAAGCUUGGACUGAAUCCACUCUCAGUCAUUAAGGUCAAAAUUUCAUUGGCUUUGGCAACCAUCUGCCUCCUGCCAUAUAUUGCAAUCAUGGCAUUAAGAGUACUUAAGUCAGGUGAGCCUUUUUUCCUCAAUUCCAUGAACGCAUGCUCUGUUUCCAUUAGGAGGUCACAUUUACUAUUAACUAAAACAAGGGUCUUCAACAGAACAGCAACAGGUUCAGUUACACCAGAGUAUAUCUCUUUAGCAAGAGCACGCAUUCGCUCAAUCUCCUUGCCAUUGGCAUAAGCAUGAAGCAAAGAACAGUAUGUG